UGCAUUCAGAUCUGUUAUUUCUUUUAUAAGAAUAUUUUAUUUUGCAGUGAUUUCAUUUUGCAGUUUAAACUUAAUACCUGACUUUUUUGAGUUCUUUGCCGAACUCACCUUGUUCCUACAUUGUUCUAAUUUUUGUGAGGGUUUUUGUUCUUUAUAUUACGAGUGAUCAAAGGUAAAGUUGAGGAUGUUGAAUUGCCUGGGAAAGUGGACAUUCUGAUUUCUGGGGCUAUAUGAUUCAGAAGGGUGUUCUCAAAUGACCAUGAUGUAACUUCUGCAGUGUUAACAAGGCCUUAAUUUCGCUGUAUACUCCUUUCCUAUCCUUGCUGUGGCGAUCUUGGGUUUCAUUUACUUGCAUCUAAAUGCCACAGAUCGAACAAGCUGGUAUGUUUCUCUGUUGCAUUAUUAACAAAAAAAAAUCAUGAUGACUGUUAAACUGCAUUUCAUCCUACUUGUGCUAAACGUGUUGGCCAGCACAUGGAUGUGAAGAUUGGUGGAGGCAAGUUUUUUCAGCACAAGGCUUAUUGUGAAAAGCAUAGCUUGGAUCAGAAAAAGAAGGUCAUAUCAAUUGCUUUUGAAGAAUGAAUAUCUUAUGAUGCAUUGUCUUUCAUAGGAUAAAAGUCUUAUGUUACAAUGCAUAAGUUUAUUUCUCCUGCCUCAUCUUGGUUUUUAUCAAUUUCUACAGGCUGAGAGUCUGCAACAUGGACCUGAUGAGGUCCGCCGCAUUAAGCACUGACGACACCGGUGAUGACGGGCGCGACUAUGACUUUGUAUUAUUUGUGGAACCUAAUGUUGUGUAACAGUUUGAUUGAGUUAAACUUUAAAUAGACUGUUGUUAACUGUUUUGUUGGUAUUGUGGCUUUCAUGAUUGAUUGUUUCA